AGGUUUGAAAAAAAAGGCUUAUUUAGAUCCACCCGAAGACUUACAUGUGAUGUCAACAAGUUCUGCGUAAGUACUAGGGUGACAAAGAAAAGAAAGCUGAGACUUUUAUCACUUUCAAAAAACAGCAACUAUAUUAUUACAAGGGGAGCAAAGGAGAGAAGAACUGUAUACACAGGUUUUUUUUUUGUGAAAAUAUGAUUUCAGCUGUGUGUGUGUGUAUGGGAGGAACCAGAGCAUGAAGGCAACAUGGAGAAGAAACAAAAAUCCAGAGCUUUGUGUCCAGCCAUGACUCUGAGUAACUGCAGAACCAUAAACUAAGCUUCCACCUAUUGCAAAUAUCCUGCUCCUGUUUAAUUUCAUCUGUAUGAACUGUAAACUUUCAGCAACUCCUGAAUUUGUUUUUACCACCCCAACGGAUGGCUGGAAUUACUUUCAGCUGGGUUACAGGGAAAAAAAAGUGUAUAAUAGUGGACCUGUACUGGAUGGAAAAAAUAUCCAAAAAGGGAAGAAAAGGUGAUGUAAAUAUCUGAGUUAGCACUUCUAUUAUUAGCAGGAAAGAAACAGAAACUGCAAAAGCAUGAACAAGUAAUUUGCAUCCCAAAUGGAUAUCUAAAUAAGUUGCCACCACUCCUUUCCUCUUUCAGCCCAAUGACUCUUUACAGUGAAAGAGUAUGGACUGAUAUUGUUCUUGUUUUUCUGCUCUUCAAAUUUUGGCUGUAGAUAUGAAAACAAAACAAAAUUAAAAAAAGAUGAGGAGAAGAAAUCAGCUAAGACUGCUUCCAAGAAGUGGUAAACUUUCUGUUAAACAUCUCAUUUUAUCUUAGGUACCAGUUACAGAAUGCCUUAUCAGCAAAAUUUGGGGGGUACGUGUGAAAGUGUGUGUUUAAUAAUAAUGAACUUGAAUUAAAAAGGCCAAAAAGGAAUUUCUAAUGAGAAAGGAAGUGCCUGCUUUUGGAGAAAUUAACUGCUCCAGUGAAUUGCAAAGAUAAAGCAGAAGAAGUUAUCCAAUAAUUUGUCUGUUGUAAUUAGAGAUGGGCCUGAGCUCCUACAUUCUCAGCCAGAUCCAAAUUAUGGGGGCAUCUGGAGCUGGGGUUAUAGUUUUGUUUCACAGACUUUCAUUCAGGCUAGUGUGAAGAGCAGAUAAAAGCUGGGGGACCUGGUCCCCUGCCAUGCCAUGCAAAUGACUCUUAUGGACUUAAAGGCAGUUACUUAAAUCCUGUGGCAGAAGAUUAGGAGCCAAUUACUGUAAGUUAGUGCAUCCUAUUCAUGAUAUUUUCCCUUUGGUCAUAACACUGAAAACUAUCUUAUGACAUUGAGACAAUGAUAAUUAAUUACUUGCCUCCUGCAAUGGUAGACCUGAGACCCAUAGGUUUCCAAAACUAUAUAUUUUUAAAACAUGCAUGAAAAGCAGCUAUUUUUCUGUAGAAUUAAGCUUUCUCUCCUCCCAAAACAUACUUCAAAACUUUUCUUUGCCUAAAUGGUUGGUGAUAUUUAGAGGAAGGGAGAGAAGAGUUAUAGGAACCAUAGACUGGACAUAAUGCUUUUUAUGAAUGAUCUUAACCAGUAGGCCACACAUCUAUCAGUUAAUGAACAGGACUAGGGAAAACCACUGAAAAUCAGAGCAUGGCAUGUAAGUGUAUGGACACCUGUAAGGAGGCUAAACAGCAUGCUUCAGAUCUAGCAGGUAUAGCUGUCUGUCUCUGCUGUCAAGGGCCAAGUACUGGUUCUGCAAACCAGGUGAAUAUGGAACCAUACCACACGUCCCCUCCUGUCUCAUCUUCUUUCAUUCAGAGGAAAGCAGACCCUGCUGAAACAUGCACUCUGAUCUCUUAUAAAGGUGCUGUGAAGGCGUAGCUGGGGUAAACUACAGUGCAGUCAUGGCUGUUUAUGACAGAGCCUGAAUUCCUACCUAACAGACCAUAAAAAUCUAUCAGUCAGUUCUUCUCAGUCGCAUCUGCAAUAAAAGCUGACCAGGUACAGUAGUGCAAACCACC
rnacentral:lncRNA from 7 species